CCAGGCCCGGACACUGGAAGGAUUGACAGAUUGAGAGCUCUUUCUUGAUUCGGUGGGUGGUGGUGCAUGCCCGUUCUUAGUUGGUGGAGCGAUUUGUCUGGUUAAUUCCGAUAACGAACGAGACUCUAGCCUGCUAAAUAGGUGACGGGUUUUAUCAAUUGAAACCGAAGGGAGUACGGAGGCGUCGGGAUCAGGUGGCGGCGAUUCGGGUGGAAGAGGCCGGGUUUCUUUAGCUGGCUUUUCUUUCUUCCCAUCGUUCGCGCGUGGUUUUGUUUCGUCAGCUCGGUGUUCGGUUCGAAAAGGAGGAGGGCCGCGGCGUGUGGCGGAUGGGGGUUCGCCUCUGUUCGUUUGCGCGUUGCGGUUUCUCUUUCUCUUUCUUCUGGGCAUUCGGGUUGGCGGGCGCUGCGUGUGGCGAGGGAAGAGGGGAGUUUGGCGGGGGCUCGGUCUCUUGUUUCUCGGUCGUCGUCAUCCCCGGCGAUACCUUCUGCUCUCGCGUCCGUCACGCAGUCUUCUUAGAGGGACAAGCGGCGUCCAGCUGCGUGACAAUGAGCAAUAACAGGUCUGUGAUGCCCUUAGAUGUCCUGGGCCGCACGCGCGCUACACUGAAGGAAUCAGCGUGUUUCACUCUCCCUGUCCGAAAGGACCGGGUAACCGCUGAACCUCCUUCGUGG
rnacentral:rRNA from 1 species